UAGGGAAUCUUCGGCAAUGGACGAAAGUCUGACCGAGCAACGCCGCGUGAGUGAAGAAGGUUUUCGGAUCGUAAAACUCUGUUGUUAGAGAAGAACAAGGACGUUAGUAACUGAACGUCCCCUGACGGUAUCUAACCAGAAAGCCACGGCUAACUACGUGCCAGCAGCCGCGGUAAUACGUAGGUGGCAAGCGUUGUCCGGAUUUAUUGCGCGUAAAGCGAGCGCAGGCGGUUUCUUAAGUCUGAUGUGAAAGCCCCCGGCUCAACCGGGGAGGGUCAUUGGAAACUGGGAGACUUGAGUGCAGAAGAGGAGAGUGGAAUUCCAUGUGUAGCGGUGAAAUGCGUAGAUAUAUGGAGGAACACCAGUGGCGAAGGCGGCUCUCUGGUCUGUAACUGACGCUGAGGCUCGAAAGCGUGGGGAGCAAACAGG
rnacentral:rRNA from 1 species